UGGCACAACAGAACUGGGGAAAUCACAAGGCAUAGAGAACAUGAAGAUAUUGGGGGCAGUGGUGGAGGAGUGGGGUACACUGGCAGAUGAAGGUAAGUGCUGGGAACUGAGCCAGCGGGGUGCGUGUGUGAAAAACAGAGAAUGAGAAUGAAUUGAGGAUGAGUCAGGUACAUGCUUGCAUAUCUGCGUGAAUGAAAGAAAAAGGGUCUACCUGCCCGCUUUUGAUGUUGGCUUUGCCCAUUGCCAGUAUGCAGUUCCC